UCCUCGGUAGCUCAAUUGGCAGAGCACUUGGCUGUUAACCAGGGUGUUGCAGGUUCGAGUCCUGCCCGAGGAG
rnacentral:tRNA from 1 species